rnacentral:rRNA from 1 species
AUUGAACGCUGGCGGCAGGCCUAACACAUGCAAGUCGAGCGGAGCGGCGGACGGGUGAGUAAUGACUAGGAAUCUGCCUGGUCGUGGGGGAUAACGUCCGGAAACGGGCGCUAAUACCGAAUACUCGCAGAUGAGCCUAGGUGGGAUUAGCUAGUUGGUGGGGUAAAGGCCUACCAAGGCGACGAUCCGUAACUGGUAUGAGAGGAUGAUCAGUCACACUGGAACUGAGACACGGUCCAGACUCCUACGGGAGGCAGCAGUGGGGAAUAUUGGACAAUGGGCGAAAGCCUGAUCCAGCCAUGCCGCGUGUGUGAAGAAGGUCUUCGGAUUGUAAAGCACUUUAAGUUGGGAGGCGUUACCAACAGAAUAAGCACCGGCUAACUUCGUGCCAGCAGCCGCGGUAAUAC